GCUUCCCGCUUACACCGAGAAAAUAUCUGUGCAACCCAGAUUGUUUUGA
rnacentral:tRNA from 1 species